ACUCCUACGGGAGGCAGCAGUGGGGAAUCUUGGACAAUGGGCGCAAGCCUGAUCCAGCCAUGCCGCGUGAGUGAUGAAGGCCUUAGGGUCGUAAAAGCUCUUUCGCCAGGGAUGAUAAUGACAGUACCUGGUAAAGAAACCCCGGCUAACUCCGUGCCAGCAGCCGCGGUAAUACGGAGGGGGUUAGCGUUGUUCGGAAUUACUGGGGCGUAAAGCGCGCGUAGGCGGAUCGGAAAGUUGGGGGUGAAAUCCCGGGGCUCAACCCCGGAACUGCCUCCAAAACUAUCGGUCUAGAGUUCGAGAGAGGUGAGUGGAAUUCCGAGUGUAGAGGUGAAAUUCGUAGAUAUUCGGAGGAACACCAGUGGCGAAGGCGGCUCACUGGCUCGAUACUGACGCUGAGGUGCGAAA
rnacentral:rRNA from 1 species